CCCUUAGAUGUUCGGGGCUGCACACGCGCUACACUGGAGGAAACAGCGUGUAUUGACCUGGUCCGAAAGGACUGGGUAAACCUGUGAAACUUCUCCGUGCUUGGGAUAGCGGAUUGCAAUUGUUUCGCUUCAACGAGGAAUUCCUAGUAAGCGUAAGUCAUAAGCUUGCGCUGAUUAUGUCCCUGCCCUUUGUACACACCGCCCGUCGCUCCUACUGAUUGGGUGAUCCGGUGAGCUGUUCGGCCAUAGCAAUGUUUCUUGAGCAGGGCAAUGAAUGUUUCGCAAACCUUGCCACUUAGAGGAAGGAGAAGUCGUAACA
rnacentral:rRNA from 1 species